rnacentral:rRNA from 1 species
AUUGAACGCUGGCGGCAGGCUUAACACAUGCAAGUCGAGCGGGGGAAGGUAGCUUGCUACUGGACCUAGCGGCGGACGGGUGAGUAAUGCUUAGGAAUCUGCCUAUUAGUGGGGGACAACAUCUCGAAAGGGAUGCUAAUACCGCAUACGUCCUACGGGAGAAAGCAGGGGAUCUUCGGACCUUGCGCUAAUAGAUGGGCCUAAGUCGGAUUAGCUAGUUGGUGGGGUAAAGGCCUACCAAGGCGACGAUCUGUAGCGGGUCUGAGAGGAUGAUCCGCCACACUGGGACUGAGACACGGCCCAGACUCCUACGGGAGGCAGCAGUGGGGAAUAUUGGACAAUGGGGGGAACCCUGAUCCAGCCAUGCCGCGUGUGUGAGGAAGGCCUUAUGGUUGUAAAGCACUUUAAGCGAGGAGGAGGCUACUUUAGUUAAUACCUAGAGAUAGUGGACGUUACUCGCAGAAUAAGCACCGGCUAACUCUGUGCCAGCAGCCGCGGUAA